GCGGAUGUAGCCAAGUGGAUCAAGGCAGUGGAUUGUGAUCC
rnacentral:tRNA from 2 species